rnacentral:rRNA from 1 species
UAAGUAAGCGGUGGAAAAUGAACCAAAUGGGAUUCCUUAAGUAAUUGCGAAUGAAAAAGGAUAUGCUCAGCUUGAAAAUUGAAGCUUCUGGUUUUGAAUUGUAGUUUUGAAAUGUAUUGCCGAUGGAGGUGCAGGUGUAAGCCUGUUGGAAAACAGUGUCAGUGAGGGUGAGGUGCCUUUUUGUCAUUUGCAGUCCUCCAAGCACGGUAUAUAUUUGACGAGUCACACUCCUUGGCAUUGGAAUGCAAAGUGGGUGGUAAAUUCCAUGAAAAGGGAAAUACAUUUUUGAGACUGAUAGCAAACAAGUACCAUGAGGGAAAUAUGAAAAGGACUUUGAAAAGAGAAUUAAAAGAGUCUGCAUUUGCUGAACAGAAAGCAAACAGAAUGAAUUCUGCUUGGUUAGAUUAUUGUGCCGUCUGCUUUGUUUAUUUGUGUUGCAUCAGGGUGCAAUGGUUCUUUCCUUGAAUGCCAGCUUUAUUUCUGCAAAUCGUAAUCUUUGUGCAUGAAUGGAAAUACGUCUGCGGGUAUUGGAUUGCAUGUGUUUGUGGUGAUUUGUGAUUUACCUAUAUGUGUGUCUUGUGUUGGUGGCUUGUGAGCUUAAGGGUUGUUUUCAUUCUUGAGCAUGGGAAACCUUGAUUGCAUAUUUGCUGGCAACAUGUUUCUGCUUGACCCG